AGAUCUAUUGUUUCUUGGUAGAAUUUCUCAUUACUGUGUUUCGUUUGCUCUGCUGUUUCGAUUUAUAUUCAGUUGAUUUGUUCAGUCAAAUUUGUCACUAUAUGGCAGUAUCUUGAAUAUACCAGUCCUGGUAGAACUUCAUUUCUGUUGAAGUUUCUUUGUUCUUGGUCAAUUCAAAGCCUUUUUCACUCUAAUAGCCUCUUUCAAAUCGUGCAAUUUUUUAAUUUUGUGCUGUAGAUUUCCAUUUAUUUGUUUAAUCAAAUAAGAAGCAUCUCUUUGCCGUUCUUGGAUACUAGGAAUUUGAAACGCCUGAACUGUGCCUUACUGGGCAUCUUAAGUCCAAGUUUAAUAGUUAAGUAAGGAACAAGACAAGGAGCCUGGUGGCAGUUUCUCUUCUUUU
rnacentral:misc_RNA from 1 species